rnacentral:rRNA from 1 species
UACGUAGGCAGCGAGCGUUGUUCGGAGUUACUGGGCGUAAAGCGUGCGUAGGCGGUGGUCCAAGUCUGGUGUGAAAUCUCCCGGCUCAACUGGGAGGGUGCGCCGGAAACUGGGCCGCUGGAGUAUGGGAGAGGCAAGCGGAAUUCCAGGUGUAGCGGUGAAAUGCGUAGAUAUCUGGAGGAACACCCGUGGUGCAGACGGCUUGCUGGACCAUCACUGACGCUGAGGCACGAAAGCGUGGGUAGCAAACAGG